rnacentral:rRNA from 1 species
UAAAUUUUAUAUUAUUGUUAUUAUUGUUUGUAAUUAUUUUAAUUAAAAUAAUAUUUAUUUUAGUAUAUUUUAUAGAACUGAGAUUUUUAGUGAUAGUUUAUUGUACUGUAAAGGGUUUGAUUUAUUUUAUUUAAAAGUAUAAUUUAUUUAGUACCUUUUGUAUCAGGGUUUAUUUAAAUUUAAAUAAUUAUUUUAUUUUUCCCGAAAUUAAAGGAGAUAAGAUUAAGUGUUUGGUUAGUGUAAUAAAACUAUUAAUUAUUUAAUUUUAGUAAUGAUAUGUUAUUCAACUUUAAAUAUCUGGUUACUUAAGAAUUAAAUUGAAUUUAUAAUCUUUAUUUAGUAUAUUUAAUAUUUAAUUUAAGUUUAGUUUGAAGAUUAAAGGUAUUUGGGGAUUAGCUCAUUUACUAUUAUAUAACAUAAUUUUUAUUUUUAGUUUUUGUAGGAUUAGAAAUUUCUAUCUUUUAUUUUGUUAUAAUUAUAUUUAAUUUAUGUCAUUUAUUUAAUUUGUGUUUAUAUUUUUAUUAAGUAUUUUGAAUUAAUGAGGUCUUUAUAGAUUUAAUGAUAAAAUAAGUAGAUUAUUUAUUUGGAUUUAGGAACUCGGCAAAUUUUAUCCUCGCCUGUUUAACAAAAACAUGUCUUAUAGAAGUUUUAUUUUAAGUCUGACCUGCUCAAUGAAAGUUUUUAAAUUGCUAUAGUAUUUUAACUAUACAAAGGUAGCAUAAUAAUUUGUCUUUUAAUUGGAGGCUUGCAUGAAUGGUUGGACGAGGGAUACUCUUUCUUAAUCUAAAUUUAUUACAUUUGAAUUUAAUUUUUUUGUAAAAAAGCUGAAAUUUAGUUAUGGGACGAGAAGACCCUAUAGAAUUUUAAUAUUUUUUUUUAUCUUCUAUUUAUGGUAUUCAAAUAGAUUAUAAAAAAAAAUAUUUCUGUUGGGGUGACAAUGGAAAUAUUUUAACUUCCAUUUAUAAAUUAUCAUUAAUUAGUGUUUUUUUGAUCCUAUAUUAUAGAUUAAAAGAUUAAAUUACCUUAGGGAUAACAGCGUUAUUACUUCGGAGAGUUCUUAUUGAUGAAGUAGUUUGCGACCUCGAUGUUGGAUUAAAGUUAGAGUUAUAGUGCAGAAGCUUAAUAUCUAGGUCUGUUCGACCUUUAAAUCUUUACAUGAUCUGAGUUCAAACCGGCGUGAGCCAGGUUGGUUUCUAUCUAUAAUUUUGUAUAGUGGUAUAGUACGAAAGGACCUACUACUUUUAAUAUUUAAUUUUAAUUGAUUAAUUUUA